rnacentral:rRNA from 1 species
AACGAACGCUGGCGGCAGGCUUAACACAUGCAAGUCGAACGUCCUGGCAACAGGGCGUGGCAGACGGGUGCGUAACGCGUGGGAACAUACCUUUCGGUUCGGAAUAACCCAGGGAAACUUGGGACAAUACCGGAUACGUGCGAAAGCAGAAAGAUUUAUCGCCGAAAGAUUGGCCCGCGUCCGAUUAGCUAGUUGGUGAGGUAAUGGCUCACCAAGGCGACGAUCGGUAGCUGGUCUGAGAGGAUGAUCAGCCACACUGGGACUGAGACACGGCCCAGACUCCUACGGGAGGCAGCAGUGGGGAAUAUUGGACAAUGGGCGAAAGCCUGAUCCAGCCAUGCCGCGUGAGUGAUGAAGGCCCUAGGGUUGUAAAGCUCUUUCGCCAGGGACGAUAAUGACGGUACCUGGAGAAGAAGCCCCGGCUAACUUCGUG